AUAAGUCAUUAAUCACCCUAGGUUUCUUCUGAAGCCAAUGGUGAGAAAUGACACCUUCAGAGACCAGUUCAUCUUAGAUACAUAUUUUAGGAGGAGUUGAAACACCCCCUCCAGAG